rnacentral:rRNA from 1 species
UACCAGCACCCCGAGUGGUCGGGACGAUUAUUGGGCCUAAAGCAUCCGUAGCCGGUUCUACAAGUCUUCCGUUAAAUCCACCUGCUUAACAGAUGGGCUGCGGAGGAUACUAUAGAGCUAGGAGGCGGGAGAGGCAAGCGGUACUUAGUGGGUAGGGGUAAAAUCCGUCGAUCCAUUGAAGACCACCAGUGGCGAAGGCGGCUUGCCAGAACGCACUCGACGGUGAGGGAUGAAAGCUGGGGGGGCAAACCGG